rnacentral:rRNA from 1 species
CGGUCAAAAGCUCGUAGUUGGAUUUCUGUUGAGGAUGACCGGUCCGCUCUUUGAGCGCGUAUCUGGUUCAGCCUUGGCAUCCUCUUGGGGAACGCUACUGUGCUUGAUUGCAUGGGGCGGUAUUCAAGACUUUUACUUUGAGGAAAUUAGAGUGUUCACUGCAAGCGUUAGCAAUUGAAUACAUUAGCAUGGAAUAAUAAUAUAGGACCUUGGUACUAUUUUGUUGGUUUCUAGAACCAAGGUAAUGAUUAAUAGGGACAAUUGGGGGCAUUCGUAUUAACGCGUCAGAGGUGGAAUUCUUAGAUUGCGUUACGACGAACUACUGCGAAAGCAUUUGCCAAGGAUGUUUUCAUUGAUCAAGAACGAAAGUAUGGGGAUCGAAGACGCUUAGAUACCGUCGUAGUCUAUACCAUAAACUAUGCCAACUAGAGAUCGGAGGUCGUUCUCUUUAUGACUCCUUCAGCACCUUAUGAGAAAUCAAAGUCUUUGGGUUCCGGGGGGAGUAUGGUCGCAAGGCUGAAACUUAAAGGAAUUGACGGAAGGGCACCACCAGGAGUGGAGCCUGCGGCUUAAUUUGACUCAACACGGGAAAACUUACCAGGUCCAGACAUAGUAAGGAUU